UGGCGGACGGGUGAGUAACGCGUGAGUAACCUGCCUUUCAGAGGGGGAUAACGUCUUGAAAAGGACGCUAAUACCGCAUAAUAUCUUUUUACCGCAUGGCAGAGAGAUCAAAGGAGCAAUCCGCUGAAAGAUGGACUCGCGUCCGAUUAGCCAGUUGGCGGGGUAACGGCCCACCAAAGCGACGAUCGGUAGCCGGACUGAGAGGUUGAACGGCCACAUUGGGACUGAGACACGGCCCAGACUCCUACGGGAGGCAGCAG
rnacentral:rRNA from 1 species